CCUACGGGGUGCAGCAGUGAGGAAUAUUGGUCAAUGGACGAGAGUCUGAACCAGCCAAGUAGCGUGAAGGAUGACUGCCCUAUGGGUUGUAAACUUCUUUUAUAUGGGAAUAAAACGUUCCACGUGUGGGAUUUUGUAUGUACCAUAUGAAUAAGGAUCGGCUAACUCCGUGCCAGCAGCCGCGGUAAUACGGAGGAUCCGAGCGUUAUCCGGAUUUAUUGGGUUUAAAGGGAGCGUAGGUGGAUUGUUAAGUCAGUUGUGAAAGUUUGCGGCUCAACCGUAAAAUUGCAGUUGAAACUGACAGUCUUGAGUACAGUAGAGGUGAGCGGAAUUCGUGGUGUAGCGGUGAAAUGCUUAGAUAUCACGAAGAACUCCGAUUGCGAAGGCAGUUCACUGGACUGCAACUGACACUGAGGCUCGAAAGUGUGGGUAUCAAACAGGAUUAGAUACCCUUGUAGUC
rnacentral:rRNA from 1 species